rnacentral:rRNA from 1 species
GAUGAACGCUGGCGGCGUGCCUAACACAUGCAAGUCGAACGAGAUUAGACUGGUGCUUGCACUAGUCGAAGUCUAGUGGCGGACGGGUGAGUAACACGUAGGCAACCUGCCUUCUUCACCGGGAUACCUUAGGGAAACUUAAGUUAAUACCGGAUAAGCUUACACUACCGCAUGGUAGAGUGAGGAAAGAUUUUAUCGGAAGAAGAUGGGCCUGCGUCUGAUUAGCUAGUUGGUGGGGUAAAGGCCUACCAAGGCGACGAUCAGUAGCCGACCUGAGAGGGUGAUCGGCCACAUUGGGACUGAGACACGGCCCAAACUCCUACGGGAGGCAGCAGUGGGGAAUAUUGCACAAUGGGCGCAAGCCUGAUGCAGCAACGCCGCAUGGGUGAUGAAGGUUUUCGGAUCGUAAAGCCCUUUAGUCUGGGAAGAAUAAUGACUGUACCAGAAGAAUAAGCACCGGCUAACUACGUGCCAGCAGCCGCGGUAAUACGUAGGGUGCAAGCGUUAUCCGGAAUUACUGGGUGUAAAGCGAGAGUAGGCGGUUUAUUAAGCCAUAAGUGAAAGCCUGGGGCUCAACCUCAGCGAGCUUAAGGAACUGGUAAACUAGAGUAUUGGAGAGGUAAGUGGAAUUCCUAGUGUAGCGGUGAAAUGCAUAGAUAUUAGGAGGAACACCAGUGGCGAAGGCGACUUACUGGACAAUUACUGACGCUGAGUCUCGAAAGCGUGG